GACUCAGGGAGGUAGUGACAAGAAAUAACAACACUGGAAAUUUUAUUUCUAGUGAUUGGAAUGAUGGGAAUUUAAACCCCUUUCAGAGUAACAAUUGGAGGGCAAGUCUGGUGCCAGCAGCCGCGGUAAUUCCAGCUCCAAUAGCGUAUAUUAAAGUUGUUGCAGUUAAAAAGCUCGUAGUUGGAUGUCUGCUGGAAGCAAUCAGUCCGCCCUAUUUGUAGGGUGUGCACUUGAUGAAUUCUGGCAUCUAUAUCCCAAUAAUAUGAUGGUGUAUACCCUGUGUACACCCAUCUAUAUUGGGAUAAUACCGUUACUUUGAGAAAAUUAGAGUGUUUGAAGCAGGCUAAUUGCCUUGAAUACUGCAGCAUGGAAUAACAAUAUAGGAUUUCGGUUCUAUUUUGUUGGUUUCUAGGACUGAAAUAAUGAUUAAUAGGGACAGUUGGGGGCAUUCGUAUUUAACUGUCAGAGGUGAAAUUCUUAGAUUUGUUAAAGACGAACUACUGCGAAAGCAUUUGCCAAAGAUGUUUUCAUUAAUCAAGAACGAAAGUUAGGGGCUCGAAGACGAUCAGAUACCUGGAAAUUUUAUUUCUAGUGAUGUCGUAGUCUUAACCAUAAACUAUGCCGACAAAGUUGUUGCAGUUAAAAAGCU
rnacentral:rRNA from 1 species